AACGAACGCUGGCGGCAUGCCUAACACAUGCAAGUCGAACGAGAUCUUCGGGUCUAGUGGCGCACGGGUGCGUAACGCGUGGGAAUCUGCCCUCAGGUUCGGAAUAACCAUUGGAAACGAUGGCUAAUACCGGAUGAUGACGUUAAGUCCAAAGAUUUAUCGCCUGAGGAUGAGCCCGCGUAGGAUUAGCUAGUUGGUGUGGUAAAGGCGCACCAAGGCGACGAUCCUUAGCUGGUCUGAGAGGAUGAUCAGCCACACUGGGACUGAGACACGGCCCAGACUCCUACGGGAAGCAGCAGUGGGGAAUAUUGGACAAUGGGCGAAAGCCUGAUCCAGCAAUGCCGCGUGAGUGGUGAAGGCCUUAGGGUUGUAAAGCUCUUUUACCCGGGAUGAUAAUGACAGUACCGGGAGAAUAAGCUCCGGCUAACUCCGUG
rnacentral:rRNA from 1 species